rnacentral:rRNA from 1 species
AACGAACGCUGGCGGCAUGCCUAACACAUGCAAGUCGAACGAAGCCUUCGGGCUUAGUGGCGCACGGGGUGCGUAACACGUGGGAAUCUGCCCUUCGGUUCGGAAUAACAGUUAGAAAUGACUGCUAAUACCGGAUGAUGACGUAAGUCCAAAGAUUUAUCGCCGAAGGAUGAGCCCGCGUAGGAUUAGGUAGUUGGUAGGGUAAUGGCCUACCAAGCCGACGAUCCUUAGCUGGUCUGAGAGGAUGAUCAGCCACACUGGGACUGAGACACGGCCCAGACUCCUACGGGAGGCAGCAGUGGGGAAUAUUGGACAAUGGGCGAAAGCCUGAUCCAGCAAUGCCGCGUGAGUGAUGAAGGCCUUAGGGUUGUAAAGCUCUUUUACCAGGGAUGAUAAUGACAGUACCUGGAGAAUAAGCUCCGGCUAACUCCGUGCCAGCAGCCGCGGUAAU